rnacentral:lncRNA from 1 species
GCAAUUAUUUUCUACACAUUUUUGAGUAUAUCCAUAUGUAAAUUUACAAAUACAACAUACAUUUUUAUUUAAAAGUUUUUUUAUUUUAUCUUUUAUAAUUAUUUUAUUUGUACCAUUACCGUUAAUAUUUUUAUUGUUGUUAUUAUUGUUGUUAUUGUUAUUGUUGUUAUUGUUAUUGUUGUUAUUGUUGUUGUUUUUAUUGUUGUUGUUAUUGUUGUUUUUUGUCCUAUUGUUAGUGCUGACCUUGUUUAUAUUGUUAAUUUUAUUGUUCAUACUGGCUCUUUGGCUAGCUCUAGUUAAGUUAUAUAAACUUAUGUUAGAAUUUUUUUUAUGAUGGCUUAUAGUAGUAUUAUUAAUAAUAUUAUUAGAAUUUUUAUUAACACCAUUAUUAAUACCAUUAUUAAUGCCAUUAUUAAUACCAUUAUUAAUACUGUUGUUACUACUACAACUACUACUAUUCCUACUCGGUGCUCUAACUUCAGGUAUUGCUAUUUGUAUAUUAUUCUUUUUAGUUAUUCCACGUGUAUUCAUACCACUUGUAUAAGUAUAACAUCUUCCUCUAGUUUGAUUUGUUUUACCUGUAUCUUUUAUAACACUUACCACCGAGUUAGUGUUGUCAUACCCUGUACUUGUUCUUGUUGCUGUUCUCGUUGUUGUUACUGUUGUUGUUGCUGUGGUUGUUUCUGUUGCUAUAGUUGUUUCUGUUGUUGUGGUUGUUUCUGUUGCUGUGGUUGUUUCUGUUCCUGUUCUUGUUCCUGUUCCUGUUCCUGUUCCUGUUCCUGUUCCUGUUCCUGUUCNNNNNNNNNNUUCCUGUUCCUGUUCCUGUUCCUGUUCCUGUUCCUGUUCCUGUUCCUAUUCCUGUGGCUGUUUCUGUUAUUGCUCCUGUGGCUAUCUUUGCCGUUACUGUUCCUGUUUUAUCUACCGGUUCUGCUGAUGAUGUUAUUACUGUAUUACUUUUAUUGUCGUCGUCCUCCUCCUUGUUGUUGUUGUUGUUGUUGUUGUUGUUGUUGUUGUUGUCAUAUUUCGUUGUUCUUAUAUUAACCCUGUUACUACCAUAUAUAGAAAAGCAUUUUCUAGGUUUGCAAUAUUUUUUUGCAUAUAUAUUAAUACUUUCAGUCGAUUGGUGAUGGGCAGAUAUUGAAGAUGAUAAACUAUUACCUUUCGUGUUGUUUUUAUUUUCAUCUAAAUCAUAAUAAAUGUUACUGUAACUGUUAUAACGUUUAUUAC